UCAGUUUGGUUUGCUUGCAAACCAAAGCUGGCGACCGGCGCACGGGUGAGUAACACGUAUCCAACCUGCCUCAUACUCGGGGAUAGCCUUUCGAAAGAAAGAUUAAUAUCCGAUAGCAUAUAUUUCCCGCAUGGGUUUUAUAUUAAAGAAAUUCGGUAUGAGAUGGGGAUGCGUUCCAUUAGUUUGUUGGCGGGGUAACGGCCCACCAAGACUACGAUGGAUAGGGGUUCUGAGAGGAAGGUCCCCCACAUUGGAACUGAGACACGGUCCAAACUCCUACGGGAGGCAGCAGUGAGGAAUAUUGGUCAAUGGACGCGAGUCUGAACCAGCCAAGUAGCGUGAAGGAUGACUGCCCUAUGGGUUGUAAACUUCUUUUAUAUGGGAAUAAAGUGGUCCACGUGUGGAUUUUUGUAUGUACCAUAUGAAUAAGGAUCGGCUAACUCCGUGCCAGCAGCCGCGGUAAUACGGAGGAUCCGAGCGUUAUCCGGAUUUAUUGGGUUUAAAGGGAGCGUAGAUGGAUGUUUAAGUCAGUUGUGAAAGUUUGCGGCUCAACCGUAAAAUUGCAGUUGAUACUGGAUGUCUUGAGUGCAGUUGAGGCAGGCGGAAUUCGUGGUGUAGCGGUGAAAUGCUUAGAUAUCACGAAGAACUCCGAUUGCGAAGGCAGCCUGCUAAGCUGCAACUGACAUUGA
rnacentral:rRNA from 1 species